GAUGAACGCUGGUGGCGUGCCUAACACAUGCAAGUCGAGCGAUUCUCUUCGGAGAAGAGCGGCGGACGGGUGAGUAACGCGUGGGUAACCUGCCCUGUACACACGGAUAACAUACCGAAAGGUAUGCUAAUACGAGAUAACAUGCUUUUAUCGCAUGGUAGAAGUAUCAAAGCUUUUGCGGUACAGGAUGGACCCGCGUCUGAUUAGCUAGUUGGUGAGGUAACGGCUCACCAAGGCGACGAUCAGUAGCCGACCUGAGAGGGUGAUCGGCCACAUUGGAACUGAGACACGGUCCAAACUCCUACGGGAGGCAGCAGUGGGGAAUAUUGCACAAUGGGCGAAAGCCUGAUGCAGCAACGCCGCGUGAGAGAUGAAGGCCUUCGGGUCGUAAAGCUCUGUCCUCAAGGAAGAUAAUGACGGUAAUUGAGGAGGAAGCCCCGGCUAACUACGUG
rnacentral:rRNA from 1 species